GGGGAGAUAGCAUAAUGGUUAUGCAAAAGACUGUCAUGCUUGAGGCUCUGAACUUCUAGGUUCAAUCCUUCUCACCA
rnacentral:tRNA from 1 species